rnacentral:rRNA from 1 species
GCGGUGGAGCAUGUGGUUUAAUUCGAAGCAACGCGAAGAACCUUACCAAAUCUUGACAUCCUUUGACAAAUCUAGAGAUAGAGCCUUCCCCUUCGGGGGACAAAGUGACAGGUGGUGCAUGGUUGUCGUCAGAUCGUGUCGUGAGAUGUUGGGUUAAGUCCCGCAACGAGCGCAACCCUUAAGCUUAGUUGCCAUCAUUAAGUUGGGCACUCUAAG